GGAGCGGUCCGCGGAGCAGGUGACGCGCGCCGCGCGGGCCGCGGCGGUCGCGGUCCGGGCCGAGACCCGGUUCCGGUUCGAUCCUGACCGCGCCAC
rnacentral:tRNA from 1 species